UAAUCUUGACGUUCCGUGCCGGUGAAGGAAGCCUGAUGUAUCGUGUCAAUCGUACUUUAUUCGUAAUACUAUCUACAAACCAGCCAGAAUUCCAACUUAUUUUCCGGCUGCAUUUGCUGGGAUCAAAAUCGACAAUCAACAGCAUCUCAUGGAACAUGUAAUACUUAAUAUUUUAAGGCACGGUGCAGGGCAUUUGUGUCUCCUGUUGAGAAAAUUGGAAAUGGAUACAACCAGCUCGAUCUAUUGCAAUUCCAGAAACCUGUUCUACGUGAAGGAAUUUUACUACCAAUAAUGAUUCCUACUUCAUCAUCACGAAGUUAAAGUUUUUUUAGAAUCAUCAAUAUGAUUCUCAACAUUUUUCUUGCUGAAGGAAAUCACUGAAUGAAAAGCAUUUUCAUGCUGAUGGAUCUUCUGGGAGAAUUUUUUUCAAUGACAUCGCUAAUAACCAUAUCAAAGAUAUGGUCAACGAAUCCCAAGCAGAUAAUUGUCACUAGUUUUGAACGGUCAUUUGAAGCUUCCGGACAAUGCAAAUGCGGGCGAAAAUCCAACCCGAAUAAUUCAGAACGCGAAUUGGCGAUGGCAGCAUUUUAUGCAAUUUAACACAUGCAGGUUAUUGAUGUAAUGCAAAUAUUUCUUUCGUGCAACCAACUGAUGCAUUUCUGUCAAG